AUACGGAGGGUGCGAGCGUUAAUCGGAAUUACUUGGCGUAAAGCGUACGUAGGCGGUUGGUUAAGUUAGAUGUGAAAGCCCCGGGCUUAACCUGGGAACUGCAUUUAAAACUGGCGAACUAGAGUUGAGUAGAGGGGAGUGGAAUUUCAGGUGUAGCGGUGAAAUGCGUAGAGAUCUGAAGGAACACCAGUGGCGAAGGCGACUCCCUGGACUCGAACUGACGCUGAGGUACGAAAGCGUGGGUAGCAAACGGGAUUAGAUACCCCAGUAGUCC
rnacentral:rRNA from 1 species